GCUUGCUUUCUUUGCUGGCGACCGGCGCACGGGUGAGUAACACGUAUCCAACCUACCCUUUACUCGGGGAUAGCCUUUCGAAAGAAAGAUUAAUACCCGAUAGCAUAAUGAUUCCGCAUGGUUUCAUUAUUAAAGGAUUCCGGUAAAGGAUGGGGAUGCGUUCCAUUAGGUUGUUGGCGGGUAACGGCCCACCAAGCCUUCGAUGGAUAGGGGUUCUGAGAGGAAGGUCCCCCACAUUGGAACUGAGACACGGUCCAAACUCCUACGGGAGGCAGCAUG
rnacentral:rRNA from 1 species